GGCUCAGAUUGAACGCUGGCGGCAGGCCUAACACAUGCAAGUCGAACGGUAACAGGAAACAGCUUGCUGUUUCGCUGACGAGUGGCGGACGGGUGAGUAAUGUCUGGGAAACUGCCUGAUGGAGGGGGAUAACUACUGGAAACGGUAGCUAAUACCGCAUAACGUCGCAAGACCAAAGAGGGGGACCUUAGGGCCUCUUGCCAUCGGAUGUGCCCAGAUGGGAUUAGCUAGUAGGUGGGGUAAAGGCUCACCUAGGCGACGAUCCCUAGCUGGUCUGAGAGGAUGACCAGCCACACUGGAACUGAGACACGGUCCAGACUCCUACGGGAGGCAGCAGUGGGGAAUAUUGCACAAUGGGCGCAAGCCUGAUGCAGCCAUGCCGCGUGUAUGAAGAAGGCCUUCGGGUUGUAAAGUACUUUCAGCGGGGAGGAAGGGAGUAAAGUUAAUACCUUUGCUCAUUGACGUUACCCGCAGAAGAAGCACCGGCUAACUCCGUGCCAGCAGCCGCGGUAAUACGGAGGGUGCAAGCGUUAAUCGGAAUUACUGGGCGUAAAGCGCACGCAGGCGGUUUGUUAAGUCAGAUGUGAAAUCCCCGGGCUCAACCUGGGAACUGCAUCUGAUACUGGCAAGCUUGAGUCUCGUAGAGGGGGGUAGAAUUCCAGGUGUAGCGGUGAAAUGCGUAGAGAUCUGGAGGAAUACCGGUGGCGAAGGCGGCCCCCUGGACGAAGACUGACGCUCAGGUGCGAAAGCGUGGGGAGCAAACAGGAUUAGAUACCCUGGUAGUCCACGCCGUAAACGAUGUCGACUUGGAGGUUGUGCCCUUGAGGCGUGGCUUCCCGGAGCUAACGCGUUAAGUCGACCGCCUGGGGAGUACGGCCGCAAGGUUAAAACUCAAAUGAAUUGACGGGGGCCCGCACAAGCGGUGGAGCAUGUGGUUUAAUUCGAUGCAACGCGAAGAACCUUACCUGGUCUUGACAUCCACGGAAGUUUUCAGAGAUGAGAAUGUGCCUUCGGGAACCGUGAGACAGGUGCUGCAUGGCUGUCGUCAGCUCGUGUUGUGAAAUGUUGGGUUAAGUCCCGCAACGAGCGCAACCCUUAUCCUUUGUUGCCAGCGGUCCGGCCGGGAACUCAAAGGAGACUGCCAGUGAUAAACUGGAGGAAGGUGGGGAUGGCGUCAAGUCAUCAUGGCCCUUACGACCAGGGCUACACACGUGCUACAAUGGCGCAUACAAAGAGAAGCGACCUCGCGAGAGCAAGCGGACCUCAUAAAGUGCGUCGUAGUCCGGAUUGGAGUCUGCAACUCGACUCCAUGAAGUCGGAAUCGCUAGUAAUCGUGGAUCAGAAUGCCACGGUGAAUACGUUCCCGGGCCUUGUACACACCGCCCGUCACACCAUGGGAGUGGGUUGCAAAAGAAGUAGGUAGCUUAACCUUCGGGAGGGCGCUUACCACUUUGUGAUUCAUGACUGGG
rnacentral:rRNA from 1 species